rnacentral:rRNA from 1 species
UACAGAGGGGGCAAGCGUUAUUCGGAAUUAUUGGGCGUAAAGGGCGCGUAGGCGGCGAUUCAAGUGACGGGUGAAAUCCCUCGGCUUAACCGAGGAACUGCCUGUCAGACUGGGUUGCUUGAGACCGGGAGAGGCGAGUGGAAUUCCCAGUGUAGCGGUGAAAUGCGUAGAUAUUGGGAGGAACACCAGUGGCGAAGGCGGCUCGCUGGACCGGAACUGACGCUGAGGCGCGAAAGCGUGGGUAGCAAACAGG